UACAGAGGUCCCAAGCGUUGUUCGGAUUCACUGGGCGUAAAGGGUGCGUAGGCGGUCGGGUAAGUCUGAUGUGAAAUCUCACAGCUUAACUGUGAAACUGCAUUGGAUACUAUUCGGCUUGAGAGUUGGAGGGGGGACUGGAAUUCUUGGUGUAGCAGUGAAAUGCGUAGAUAUCAAGGGGAACACCAGUGGCGAAGGCGAGUCCCUGGACAACUUCUGACGCUGAGGCACGAAAGCGUGGGGAGCAAACAGG
rnacentral:rRNA from 1 species